UUUACCGUUUACUGUACCCUC
rnacentral:piRNA from 1 species